CUGCACGAAUGGUGUAACCAUGGCCACGCUGUCUCCACCCGAGACUCAGUGAAAUUGAAAUCGCAGUGAAGAUGCUGUGUACCCGCGGCUAGACGGAAAGACCCCGUGAACCUUUACUACAGCUUGGCACUGAACAUUGACCCUACAUGUGUAGGAUAGGUGGGAGGCUUUGAAGCAGAGACGCUAGUUUCUGUGGAGCCGACCUUGAAAUACCACCCUUGUAGUGUGGAUGUUCUAACUUAGGCCCCUGAAGCGGGGUUGAGGACAGUGCCUGGUGGGUAGU
rnacentral:rRNA from 1 species